CCACAUCACAUUCAAACACUAGUUUCCAUAUGAUCACCAAAGUUAAGCAAUGUCAAGCCAGGUUAAUACCUAGAUGGGUGGCCACUUGGGAAUACCAGCUGCUGUAAG